rnacentral:rRNA from 1 species
GACGAACGCUGGCGGCGUGCCUUAUACAUGCAAGUUGAGCGCUGAAGGUUGGUACUUGUACCAACUGGAUGAGCAGCGAACGGGUGAGUAACGCGUGGGGAAUCUGCCUUUGAGCGGGGGACAACAUUUGGAAACGAAUGCUAAUACCGCAUAAAAACUUUAAACACAAGUUUUAAGUUUGAAAGAUGCAAUUGCAUCACUCAAAGAUGAUCCCGCGUUGUAUUAGCUAGUUGGUGAGGUAAAGGCUCACCAAGGCGAUGAUACAUAGCCGACCUGAGAGGGUGAUCGGCCACAUUGGGACUGAGACACGGCCCAAACUCCUACGGGAGGCAGCAGUAGGGAAUCUUCGGCAAUGGACGAAAGUCUGACCGAGCAACGCCGCGUGAGUGAAGAAGGUUUUCGGAUCGUAAAACUCUGUUGGUAGAGAAGAACGUUGGUGAGAGUGGAAAGCUCAUCAAGUGACGGUAACUACCCAGAAAGGGACGGCUAACUACGUG